rnacentral:rRNA from 1 species
CACGAAACCAGGCGAGCUACUGUGGGGCGCAUAAUAGUGUAAGGUAUGUAGCAUAAUAUAAAUAGACCCCGCAGUAGGAGUGAAAGGCUUUCAAGUCUGGUGAUAUCUUGUUAACUUUGAGAUGUAUUAAGUACUUUGUCAAUCUAUUAGUGAUAAGGCUAAUAGAAACUAUAUAAUUUGUUUGUCCUUCACUAACAUAGUUUAAUCGCUAGUGCUUUUAUGGAACGAAUAUAAAUAUCUAUUGUUAGUAGAUAAUAAAAGUCAAUAUUAGUAUUUUAAUGAGUAUUUAUAUUGUACGUAUUAGUAAUUUAGGUACUGUUGAUGAACUCGGCAAUAUUUUCUUCACCUGUUUAUCAAAAACAUCGCCAGUAGAUGGUACUAUUGGUUAAUUCUGCUCCAUGUACUAUAAAUAGCCGCAGUACUCUGACUGUGCAAAGGUAGCGUAAUCAUUUGGCUUAUAAUUGAAGUCUGGCAUGAAUGAAUACAUGGGGGAAAACUCUAUUAGCGACACUUGUUGAAUUUACUUAUUGGGUGCAAAUUCCCAAAACUAAACAAAAGACGAGAAGACCCUUGAAAUUUUUAUGAUCCGUUGAACUAAGUUUUUGUUGGGGCAACAUGGUAGCAUGCAACCUACAGUAGUGUACACGACACACACAGUAGUUAGAUUAAAUUACUCUAGGGAUAACAGCGUAAUUCUUAAGUGUUUGCGACCUCGAUGUUGGACUAGGGAGCCACUGCUUAAAA